UUAAGGUCUGUGUGUGUUGUAACAAACAGAGUGUGAAUUGUAAUGUCCCUAUUGGGGAUCAAUACAGAGUAUAAAUAAGAUUAAUUAAAUCAUUUAAAAUGAAUAAAUAC